AACUCAUGUCUUCCUAACGUUCUAUAUAUUAUGUUACUUAAAAUGAGAAAGGAACAAAGGCAAUUCUGACAUUACUGGGUGCUACAGCUUGGAGUCUGCAUUGCUUUUUCUGAUCUAGUCCUCAUUAUUAUCCGGAUAGCUAAAAAGGACUGGACACUAGGGGCUAUGCUCCAUGUUCUUCUCUUCAGGUGUCAUGCUUCUGCUUCUGAUGACCUCCCCUCUGAAGCCAAAUGGCUACUUCUUUUCUUGUAUCUUUGUAGUUCCAUGGCCAAAAUAUCCCUUGCUGACUCUCUCCUUGCUGAAGUCUCUGUAAGACUAAGAGAUAGAUAGAUGGAUAAGUAGGUUCCUCUUGAGGGAUCCAUGUCCACUCUCUUGUGUAAUCUCUUCCUUCUUUUCCUAAGAAGCUAAUUCUUGACUUCUCUACUACUCAAAAAACCCCUCUUCUUUUAUGGACAUGCUGCACAACUUAAAGAGAAAUAAAAUGUAGCUUCCCAAAGGACCAAGGGUCCCUCUUAGACCUCCAUCAAAAUCUUUUGUCAGGAAAGGAUGACAUUUUUCAGGACAAAUAACUCAUGAGAUGUUGUAUUGUACAUCUGCGAUGCCUCCAAAAACUAGUCAGAGAACACAAGAAGCUAGACAUGCAUUCAUAAGCAUUUAAAGGAACAAGGCUCUGAUUAUAAGCUACAGUGACUCCAAAGCCAGGAGCAUAGGAUGGUCCCCCUUCAGCUUUUAGUGGGGAGGUUGGUGGUUGCAGGGAGUAGGAGGAAAGAGGGAACAGGAAGAGAACAAUUUGAAAGCAAUCGAGAAUGAGGAGUUAUCUCCACAGACUAAGCUCCAAGUACAGAGGAGAGUGAGCAAAUGGGAUUCCGACCCACCUUAGCACCAUCACAAUGCAACUCACUAGUAUCCCCCUGUUCAGUGAAUCAGCCCCUGAUUUAUUCAUAUAUGAUCAGUUCAUCUCCUAAGUACUUCAACUCCAGUCUGCCACAACUACUCCUUUCAUUCAAGGGAUGGAGAAAAAUGCUUCCAUCAUUACCAAUAACCAGCUGUCACCAAGGGACAAAUAUGUCUGAGUCCUUGGAAUAAUAGUACUCUCCAGAACACCAACCUUGCUUCUGUCCUGCCCUCAAGGCCAUCAUUCAGAGAAGCAACUCUUGUGGUAAUAUAAUCUAUCAACUGCCUCUCUGGGUGCUGCAGGCUCCUGUUUCCUCAGAGCUACUGAAGUCCCAGAGAAGAAAGUUCUCAUCACUGAAGCCCUCGGUUCCAUCAAAUGCUUCAACAUUAGAAAUAGUUAUUGUUUUAUCCAUGGAAAUGAUACUAAAGUUGAUUUUUGCCAUCUACGUUUGUACUGUAUCCUAGGACCGCUGAACCCUUCCAUCUGACAUGGAUCUGAAAUUUCUAUAUGGUUUUCUUCUUUUCAAAUGUGAGGUCUGUGAGAGCAGACACUGUCUUGCUUGUUUUGUUUUUUUUUUUUUUGGUAUUCCCAAAGCAUAUAAUAAAUAUAUGCUUAAUAAAUGUUUCUUCA
rnacentral:lncRNA from 1 species